CCGGCACGGGUGAGUAACACGUAUCCAACCUGCCGUCUACUCUUGGACAGCCUUCUGAAAGGAGGAUUAAUACAAGAUGGCAUCAUGAGUCCGCAUGUUCACAUGAUUAAAGGUAUUCCGGUAGACGAUGGGGAUGCGUCCCAUUAGAUAGUAGGCGGGGUAACGGCCCACCUAGUCUUCGAUGGAUAGGGGUUCUGAGAGGAAGGUCCCCCACAUUGGAACUGAGACACGGUCCAA
rnacentral:rRNA from 1 species